UGGGGGUCGACUGUUUGAGAGACAGGGUCGAAAUCAGAUCUUUGGCCACUAAAAUGACGACCUAGGGCAAAAUAGGGUUUCAUUCAAAGAUUGGAGGUUAGGAUUUGAAAGCUAACUUGAAUUUUUUUUCAGAGAUAUAAGAAUUGUUUUAAGAGGGUUUUGAAGGAUUUAGCAAUUGUUGUUCAAAGUCAGGGUUUGUAUCAAAGAAUUUGUAUUUUAUAUAAUAUAAUUAAGGCUAGCAAUUUUGGCUAGUUCUUGCAAUUGGCAUGACAUCUACAAUUGAAAAUUUGUUAUUUUUUGGAUUAUUGAGUUGGCUAAGUGUAUAAAAAGUUUUAUGAUAAUCUAACAACACAGUUUAGAAAUAUCUAGUUUUUAGCACAAGAGAAUUUCAGAAGGUGGCAGUUUGAGGUUGGGUAGGAUUUCUAUGAUAUCUAAAGAUCUAUUAAUUGGAUUAAGGUGAAAAUUGG
rnacentral:lncRNA from 1 species